rnacentral:tRNA from 1 species
GCGCCCUUAGCUCAGUUGGAUAGAGCAACGACCUUCUAAGUCAUGGGCCGCAGGUUCGAAUCCUGCAGGGCGCGCCA